CCGUAACAGGGCACAGUCUUUGUCAAACAUUGCCAAAUAUCUUUGCCAAACAUUACCGUAUCCUGCUAAUGCAUGUGUUAAUUCGCCAUAAAAAACCAAUGCAUGUGUUUCCUAAACCAAUGCAUGUGGCCUUCUAUAAGGGUAGGAUACAGCAGGGCAAAUCGAACACUUGCCAAAUUCUCCACGACCUAUAUAGAAACCUCUUUACGAACACUUGCCAUUUUAACCCACUGCCACUGGUAUAGGUGCCGACGUGCUGUGCUCGCUUGCAAACCAUUGCUCUCUUGAACAACUUUGGCGAGCGAUCCAGCUAGCGGGCCGGCCGGACGUGCGUGCGUGCAUGGACGUGCUGUCGUCUGCGAAGCGCGCCCUCCCGUGGGGCCGCACCUCGGCCGGCGGGGUCAUCGGCGGCCUCCGAGCUCUACUCGGGACGGACGGAGGCGGCGGCCGCUCUCUUCUCCCGUCCCGGUGGAAGUCGUCGCAGCCGCAGCUGGACCCCGUCGACAGGUCCGACGAGGAGGGCGGCGGCGACAUCGACUGGGACAACCUCGGCUUCGGGCUGACCCCGACCGACUACAUGUACGUCAUGCGGUGCACGCAGGAGGAGGGCGGCUUCUCCCGCGGCGAGCUCGCCCGCUACGGCAACAUCGAGCUCAGCCCCUCCUCCGGCGUCCUCAACUACGGGCAGGGGCUGUUCGAGGGGCUCAAGGCGUACCGGAGGGCGGACGGGCCCGGGUACACGCUGUUCCGGCCGGAGGAGAACGCGCGGCGGAUGCAGCACGGCGCCGGGCGCAUGUGCAUGCCUUCCCCGUCCGUCGAGCAGUUCGUGCACGCCGUCAAGCAGACCGUCCUCGCCAACAAGCGCUGGGUGCCACCGCAAGGAAAGGGAGCGCUGUACCUCAGGCCGCUGCUCAUCGGGAGCGGGGCGAUCCUCGGGCUGGCGCCGGCGCCCGAGUACACCUUCAUGAUCUACGCCGCGCCCGUGGGCACAUAUUUCAAGGAAGGCAUGGCGGCGAUAAACCUGCUGGUCGAGGAGGAGAUCCACCGCGCCAUGCCGGGCGGCACCGGCGGGGUCAAGACCAUCUCCAACUACGCGCCGGUGCUCAAGGCGCAGAUGGACGCGAGGAGCAAGGGGUUCGCGGACGUGCUGUACCUGGACUCGGUCCACAAGAGGUACGUGGAGGAGGCCUCCUCCUGCAACCUCUUCGUCGUGAAGGGCGGCGCCGUCGCGACGCCGGCGACGGCGGGGACCAUCCUGCCGGGGGUCACGCGCAGGAGCAUCAUCGAGCUCGCCCGAGACAGCGGCUACCAGGUGGAAGAGCGCCUCGUCUCCAUCGACGAUCUGAUCAGUGCAGACGAAGUGUUCUGCACGGGAACGGCCGUCGGCGUCACCCCGGUGUCCACCAUCACCUACCAAGGGACAAGGUACGAGUUCAGGACCGGAGAAGACACGCUGUCGAAGAAGCUGUACACGACUCUGACGUCGAUCCAGAUGGGCCUGGCGGAGGACAAGAAAGGAUGGACGGUUGCGGUUGAUUGAUUAGGAUAACAGCGUGGGCGCAUGCGGCGCCGGAAGCAUUCAUCAGCAUUUCUUAUCAUGUCUUGCCAAUGUGAAUAAUAAUAGUCAUGGUGAUGAUAUCUCGGGGAUGUCUCGGCCCCCAAGGGCGAUGGUCUCUCUGAUGCUACUGGUUUCUUGGAAAAUAUGGAAAGAGAGAAAUGCACGGGUGUUCCGUAACAACGCAGUUCGUCAUGGGUGUUCUUGUUGCUCGAACUAAAGAGGAAGCUUCUCUGUGGUGUGGUGCCUAGCCGGGGUGAAAUUUUUGUGUAAUAUUAUGCCGCAAGAGUGAGGCUUGUAAUUCGGCCCGAGGCCUAGACUCUAAAAAACUUUUUAUUCAAUGAAAAUGGUAAGCCUUUUGCCUUGUUUUUAUUUUAAA
rnacentral:rRNA from 1 species